UACAGAGGUCCCGAGCGUUGUUCGGAUUCAUUGGGCGUAAAGGGUGCGUAGGCGGCGGGGCAAGUCUGAUGUGAAAUCCCGGGGCUCAACCCGGACUGCAUUGGAUACUGCCUUGCUUGAGUACUGGAGAGGAGACUGGAAUUUACGGUGUAGCAGUGAAAUGCGUAGAUAUCGUAAGGAAGGCCAGUGGCGAAGGCGAGUCUCUGGACAGUUACUGACGCUGAGGCACGAAGGCCAGGGGAGCAAACAGG
rnacentral:rRNA from 1 species